rfam:Anolis carolinensis unplaced genomic scaffold chrTn0011, whole genome shotgun sequence.
GGAUGUGAAGGCGAUUUGGCUGUGACAUCUGUCACCCCAUUGAUCGCCACGGUUGAUUCGGCUGUUCUGGCUGGCUAGGCGGGUGUCCCCUUUCUCCCUCACCGCUCCAUGUGUGUCCCUCCCGAAGUUGCGUGCUCGGUGGAAGAGGACGAUGUCCCAUGUAUAGAAGAAGUGUACCGAGGUCUCCAGUCUUCGGUCCCAAGUAUACGAUAUUGCCUCAUAAGUACACAUUUAAUGGAUUUGAUCCGACUUAUAAGGAUUAACGAAAACAUUGCACAUGCCUAUUAAAAACUAAAUCUCAGCCCUUAUUAUAUUAUAGUGAUACCAGUGAUAAGG